CUUGAACUUUCUUCAAAUUAUUCUCAGACACAUAGCAUUGCCUUAACAAUUCAGCAUAAGAAGUGAAUUCCCUUUGAGAUACACUAUGAGAAAUUUCACCCCUUAGACCAAACAGAAACUGAUCAAUCUUCCACCUCUCAUCAGGUGCUUACACGACUUGCCUAGAGUAAGCAGCUAUAUCUUCGAACUUCUCGGCAUACGUAACUACUGACAUAGUACCCUGCCUAAGCUGUUG
rnacentral:lncRNA from 1 species